GAUGAAGAACGUAGCGAAAUGCGAUACUUGGUGUGAAUUGCAGAAUCCCGUGAACCAUCGAGUCUUUGAACGCAAGUUGCGCCCGAAGCCAUUAGGCCGAGGGCACGCCUGCCUGGGCGUCACACGUCGUUGCCCCCCCAUCUACUCCUUCGGGAUUGCGAGGGGCGGAUGAUGGCCUCCCGUGCGCCUCGUCGCGCGGUUGGCAUAAAUGCCAAGUCCUCGGCGCCGCACGCCACGACAAUCGGUGGUUGCGAAACCGCGGUUGCCCGUCGUGUGCGGUCGUCGCGCAUCGAGGGCUCGAAAAAAUUGCCGGGCUCCGGCUCGGCUUUCAACGCGACCCCAGGUCAGGCGGGGUUACCCGCUGAAUUUAAGCAUAUCAAUAAGCGGAGGA
rnacentral:misc_RNA from 1 species